CCUUCGGGGUACUCGAGUGGCGAACGGGUGAGUAACACGUGGGUGAUCUGCCCUGCACUUUGGGAUAAGCCUGGGAAACUGGGUCUAAUACCGAAUAGGACCACGCGCUUCAUGGUGUGUGGUGGAAAGCUUUUGCGGUGUGGGAUGGGCCCGCGGCCUAUCAGCUUGUUGGUGGGGUAAUGGCCUACCAAGGCGACGACGGGUAGCCGGCCUGAGAGGGUGACCGGCCACACUGGGACUGAGAUACGGCCCAGACUCCUACGGGAGGCAGCAGUGGGGAAUAUUGCACAAUGGGCGCAAGCCUGAUGCAGCGACGCCGCGUGAGGGAUGACGGCCUUCGGGUUGUAAACCUCUUUCAAUAGGGACGAAGCGCAAGUGACGGUACCUAUAGAAGAAGCACCGGCCAACUACGUGCCAGCAGCCGCGGUAAUACGUAGGGUGCGAGCGUUGUCCGGAAUUACUGGGCGUAAAGAGCUCGUAGGUGGUUUGUCGCGUUGUUCGUGAAAACUCACAGCUUAACUGUGGGCGUGCGGGCGAUACGGGCAGACUAGAGUACUGCAGGGGAGACUGGAAUUCCUGGUGUAGCGGUGGAAUGCGCAGAUAUCAGGAGGAACACCGGUGGCGAAGGCGGGUCUCUGGGCAGUAACUGACGCUGAGGAGCGAAAGCGUGGGGAGCGAACAGGAUUAGAUACCCUGGUAGUCCACGCCGUAAACGGUGGGUACUAGGUGUGGGUUCCUUCCUUGGGAUCCGUGCCGUAGCUAACGCAUUAAGUACCCCGCCUGGGGAGUACGGNCGCAAGGCUAAAACUCAAAGGAAUUGACGGGGGCCCGCACAAGCGGCGGAGCAUGUGNAUUAAUUCGAUGCAACGCGAANAACCUUACCUGGGUUUGANNUGCACAGGACGNCCGGCAGAGAUGUNGNUUCCCUUGUGGCCUGUGUGCAGGUGGUGCAUGGNUGUCGUCANCUCGUGUCNUGAGAUGUUGGGNUAAGUCCCGCAACGAGCGCAACCCUUGUNCUAUGUUGCCAGCGG
rnacentral:rRNA from 1 species